rnacentral:tRNA from 1 species
CAAAAUAUAGUUUAAUUAAAAAAAACAUCUCAUUUACAUCGAGAAGAAUUAUUGUGAAAAUCAAUUUAUUUUGA